rnacentral:rRNA from 1 species
GGAAUAUUGGACAAUGGGCGAAAGCCUGAUCCAGCAAUGCCGCGUGAGUGAUGAAGGCCUUAGGGUUGUAAAGCUCUUUUACUCGGGAUGAUAAUGACAGUACCGGGAGAAUAAGCUCCGGCUAACUCCGUUCCAGCAGCCGCGGUAAUACGGAGGGAGCUAGCGUUGUUCGGAAUUACUGGGCGUAAAGCGCACGUAGGCGGCGAUUCAAGUCGGGUGUGAAAUCCCCGGGCUCAACCUGGGAACUGCAUUCGAUACUGCAUUGCUAGAGUAUGGGAGAGGGAAGUGGAAUUUCCGGUGUAGCGGUGAAAUGCGUAGAUAUCGGAAGGAACACUAGUGGCGAAAGCGACUUCCUGGACCAAUACUGACGCUCAGGUGCGAAAGCGUGGGGAGCAAAC